GUUUAAUAUUUUCAUACAAAUUUAAUGUUAUUUUCAAUUUUGAAGUAAAUUGAAAAUUGAAUACUUAUUUUUUAAAUUUGUUAAAUUAUUCAUGUGAAUUUGAACAUUAUAAUUAUUACGUAGGUACUAGAAAAAUAAGUUUAUUUACUAUAUACUAGUAAGCAAAUCUAAACAUAUUUUGUAAAUAUACUUAAUAUGUAUGGUGUAUGUUGCAGUAUUUUAAGCCAUAGGUACAUUUUUGUCAAUAAUAACGAGAAGGAUUAAAAUCUAUUGAAAAAAAAUCCAAACACAUACUACCUACUGCUACGUGCUCUGAUGUCUCAUACCAAUAAUAUAAUACAUAAUAACUAAUAAGGAUGCUGCGACAUAGGGAUAAGUAAGUAUUAGGAUAUAGAUCACUGAUAUAUUAUAAUAACAUAACACGCAAUAAGGAUACUUCGACAUAGAAAUAAAUAUUUACAUGUAAUGGGGAAAUAUCUACACACCUGGGCGAUAACGUAUUAGCCCUAAACACUACGAACAAUAAUAAAAGGAGUGUCAAAACCACCUAUGACUUUUACCUUAUGAACUGGGAUAUGAACAAACUCUGCAACGCACUAAUGGCCUAUAGUAAUAAUCGAUAAACAUAAUCAUAUUUCGAGUUCUGAGAAUCUCGAUCGCAGCUUAUCACCCGCGUGUGGCAAGCAUCAUCGGAUGUCUUAUAUGUAUAGAUUAAUCAUCGCACGUGCAUCCUGAAAUGUGUAAUAGCGUGAGAACGAAUGACGUACUUAGGAAUAGGCCAAAAGGGACAUGGAUAGUAGGCCCUGGUGAGGACUCCGAUAGAUGUGAUUUACCAGAGUUAGCUCAAGCACCUUCAUGUCAGUCUACAUCAGAAUUUAAUCAUUUGGACUUAGAGAUAUUUUCAAUUAAAUUAAUAAACGACACUUAGAAAUAUUUUGGCACUUUUAUUAUUUCGAUACGACCUGUUUUCGACAACCAGUUGUUGGCCCACUACACUACCUACAACAAUCAAAUCUUCAUAUUACUGAUCAAGUAUUGAAACAUAAUAUCAAUUUAGAUUGAAUAAAUAAGCUAGACAAUAUCUAGUUAUAGAUACCUCAGAUAUUUUAGUAACAAGAUGCAUUCUUAAAGAACUUGGAUCUAAUUGACCUUCAGUUGAAGAAAUAGAAGAUUCCACUUAAAAAAUGAAGAAAGUUGAGAAGGCUACAGAACCCUCUUCUUUAUGUUAAGAAAAUCAAAUGAAUUUUUUCUUUUGUUUAAAUGUUUUUGUAAAAAUAAUUUGAUAGUAAACUAUAAACAUUUUUCAAAUGUAUUAAUUACUUAAUAAUAUUGUAGUAUUCAAAAUUAUUUUACACACUUGUGCAAUGAAUAAUGAUGUAAUUUUAAUAUGUUUACAAAUAUAAAAAGUUCUAAAAUUAUAUAAUUACAAAAUAUAAUGCUGUCAAAA